rnacentral:rRNA from 1 species
UACGGGGGGGGUAAGCGUUGUUCGGAAUUACUGGGCGUAAAGGGCUCGUAGGCGGCCAACUAAGUCAUACGUGAAAUCCCUCAGCUUAACUGGGGAACUGCGUGUGAUACUGGAUGGCUUGGAUGUGGGAGAGGGAUGCGGAGUUCCAGGUGUAGCGGUGAAAUGCGUAGAUAUCUGGAGGAACACCGGUGGCGAAGGCGGCAUCCUGGACCAUUAUUGACGCUGAGGAGCGAAAGCCAGGGGAGCAAACGGG